rnacentral:tRNA from 1 species
UGGCAGAGUGGAGAAACGGUAUCUCACCGGGUUCAUACCCCGGAGAAAGCAGGUUCGACUCCUGCCCCUGCAACCA